AGCAGAUACCGGCGCCCAUCUCAGAUGGGUCUCCAUACAUUCCAGUCAUUACAUAGACAAUAGACUGACCGAUGGUAAUGAUCAUUCCAAACAAUUUCUGUGCUCCAUUGAAGAGAGCUCUGUCCUUUGGGGUGUCGCCGACUUCAAUGAUCUUGGCACCUGCCAAGAGCUGCAUGAUGAGCCCAGAAGUGACAAUAGGGGAAAUGCCCAGUUCCAUCAAUGUACCUCUAUUAGAAGCCAGAAUCACUCUCAUCCAGUAGAAUGGAUCUGCUGAGUCUGAUGACAUUAUACCAAAUAAGGGAAUCUGACAACAUACUAAGAAGAUGAAGAGUGUGAUAGCUGUCCAUAGUACCUUUUCCUUAAACUGAAUCUUCCGUUCUGGCUUCUGGAUUUCAGGCAGGAUAACACAGAAGGGCUUGAUUACUUCAAGAAAUUUUAUCCCCAUGGCGGCCGGGGACGGGAGCGCGGAGCGCUGCGGCGGCUGCCCGGGAGGGACACGUCAGGACUGAGCCGGGCCGGCCC
rnacentral:lncRNA from 1 species